rnacentral:rRNA from 1 species
AUCUACAGUCAUACCACCCUGAACACACCUAAUCUUGUCUGAUCUUGGAAGCUAAGCAGGGUCCAGUCUGGUUAGUACUUGGAUGCGAGAAAAAUGAUAUCUGUAGGAA